rnacentral:RNase_P_RNA from 2 species
UAAAGAGGUGGAACAAUUGCCAGGUGCCGUACGGUAUCUGGAGGAAAGUCCAGACAGCAGAAGACAGGGUGUCUAGCGUAAGCUAGAGAUGCAUUUAGUAAUAAAUGUAGCCAGUUAGAGCAACAGAGACGAGAAAUAUGAAACGGGCAAUCCUCCCCGCUGCAACCUCCGAAUUGGCCGUUUGAGGAUGUCUUCCCAAGGCCUAAAGUAUGAGGGCAUAGAUAGAUAAUUGUUUUUAAAACAGAAUCUGGCUUACUAGCCUCUUUAAAGC